rnacentral:rRNA from 1 species
UACGUAGGGUGCAAGCGUUAAUCGGAAUUACUGGGCGUAAAGCGUGCGCAGGCGGCUUUGCAAGACAGAUGUGAAAUCCCCGGGCUCAACCUGGGAACUGCAUUUGUGACUGCAUGGCUGGAGUGCGGCAGAGGGGGAUGGAAUUCCGCGUGUAGCAGUGAAAUGCGUAGAUAUGCGGAGGAACACCGAUGGCGAAGGCAGCCUCCUGGGCCAACACUGACGCUCAUGCACGAAAGCGUGGGGAGCAAACAGG